GACGAACGCUGGCGGCGUGCUUAACACAUGCAAGUCGAACGGUAAGGCCCUUCGGGGUACACGAGUGGCGAACGGGUGAGUAACACGUGGGUGAUCUGCCCUGCACUUCGGGAUAAGCCUGGGAAACUGGGUCUAAUACCGGAUAGGACUCCUGGCUUCAUGGUGGGGGGUGGGAAGCUUUUGCGGUGUGGGGUGGGCCCGCGGCCUAUCAGCUUGUUGGUGGGGUAAAGGCAUACCAAGGCCACGACGGGUAGCCGGCCUGAGAGGGUGACCGGCCACACUGGGACUGCGAUACUGCCCAGACUCCUAAGGGAGGCAGCAGUGGGGAAUAUUGCACAAUGGGAGCAAGGCUGAUGCAGCGACGCCGCGUUGGGGACGACGGCCUUCGGGUUGUAAACCUCUUUCAGCACCGACGAAGCGCAAGUGACGGUAGGUGCAGAAGAAGGACCGGCCAACUACGUGCCAGCAGCCGCGGUAA
rnacentral:rRNA from 1 species